GGGUAAGGGAGGAGUGAGCCUGGGUGCUGUGGGGGGAGGGGGUUGUUCAAGGGAUGGGGACGAUCAGGGUCUCUGGGAAGUGCUGACGUGUGCGCGUGUGCGGUGUGUUGCUUGUGGGUGCGUGUGUGGUGUGUGCAUGUGUGUGCGCGCGCGUGUGUGCGGGGUGUGCCGUGAGCGUGUGCCCGCGGUUCGGGGGAUGAGUAGGGGCGCUGACUUUUAGGACCAGCCAUUUGAGUCAAGCUGGAGACGACGUCUUAGAACCUAGGAUGAGUCUCGUUUGGUUUUAGUCUGCAAAGCUCGUCUGCAUCAGACAGGAAUUUUCCCCAGACGCGGGUGCACGUGAAUUAAUUCAUCAGAAGGCGGUUCACGGCCUGAGUGAGGGGGACGAGGGCGGCGAAUUCCUCCGCCUCAUUCCUACCCUGACGAUUCGAGCCUUAGCAAGUUCUGGCCUGUGGAGCCGUCAUCCAGAGCGCACAGCUUCAUGCCCUUGAAGGGCGCAGUGUGUCCCGUGGUGCCCGGUGGGCCCGGACAGAGACCCCAGAGGCUCUGUCUGAAGGAAGCUGCACCCACAGACUCCAUCCAGGCAGCGCGGGCGCGGUCCUGUCGCCUACCUUUCUCGGAAGCCAUCUGCCCAUGUGAAUCUAUGUGAAGGCCCUUCAUGCGCUCCUGGACAUCUGCGUGGGAUUUACUUCAACUGCUAUCGCUGCGAGGAGGACGAGCAUGUUUCACUGUAUUUUUAGCAGAGAGUGCAGAUUUUAGAACCUCGCGAACGGUCCUGUAUCUCCUGCACGAUGACUCUCCAGAACAGGAAUAGUGACCCUUCCUUUGCAUUUAUGGUGCAUAGGUUUUCAAAGGACAGUGUGUAAAUCAGCUUGUGUAAUAAUUGUGGCACCCACGCGCGCAAGCAGACUUACCAUGAGCUGACUUCCACUGAUUAUUUCAGUUUCCAGGGAAACGAGGUUUGCAGCCCCCUCCAGUGAGGGCGGAGCGGCCUCUCCAUUCCCAAUGCAGCAAGGCUGCUGCAGCCACGAUGAUUAGGCUUUGGAGGAGGAAGUGAACGGAUGGGGCCUCAUCCUCCUGCCUCCCUAAAGGGUGAGGGUGGAAGGAUGGGGCUGUGCCCUCUUAGGGCAGGGAAAAACAGCUUGGAGGGGUUUCUGCCAUCAGAGAUCCCAUAGGAGGCAGGUCAGUCCUGCAGAAUUUCUCCCCAGUCUGGCCUCCAGCCUCCCUGGCCCCUUUCUAGAGGCCUCCAUCCCACUGGCGGCUUGCUCCUGCCACCGGGCCUCUGCACAGUCACCUCCUGCAGCCUGGGGUGUGUCGCCUCUCCACGUCCUCACCGGCGUCUGCCUUUGCAUUUCCCAGAUGCUCGCUUCACCCCACUGAGAUGUAACUCAGUUUUGUGGGAUCCCACUGCCCUCCAGGUGCCGCUCCGAGUGCUCUACACAGAUUUUCAUUCAGUCCUUGCGGCACACGAAGAGUGGCUGUACCAUUUUGCAUUCCCAGACCGAAGUGUGAAAGCUCCAGAUGCCCCACGCCCUCACCAGCCCACGGUGUUGUCAGCCUUAAUAGUGCUGACCAUUCUGCCUGUUAAUAUGAUGAAUUACACUGAUUCAGUUUCAAAUGUCCAACCAAGCUUGCACUCCAGAGAUGAAGCCCACUUGAUCACAUGGAUUAUUCUUUUAAUAUAUGAUGGAUACGACUUGGCUGUUCUUUUGUUGAGGAUUUUUGUGUUUAUGUUAAUGAGGAUAUUAUUUGUAGUUUUCUUUUCUUGUAAUGUUUUUGUCUUUGUUCAGUGUCAGAGUAAUGCCAACUUCAUAAAGUGAGCUGGGAAGUA
rnacentral:lncRNA from 1 species